rnacentral:rRNA from 1 species
AGGACGAACGCUGGCGGCGUGCCUAACACAUGCAAGUCGAGCGAAGCAUAAGGGUUAGCUUGCUAGCCUUUAUGACUGAGCGGCGAACGGGUGAGUAACCCGUGGGUAAUCUGCCUGGAAGACCGGGAUAACAGCUCGAAAGGGCUGCUAAUACCGGAUGAUACCAUCACUUACGAGGUGCUGGUCAAAGGUGCUUAGCGCUUCCAGAUGAGCCCGCGUCCCAUUAGCUAGUUGGUAGGGUAAAGGCCUACCAAGGCGACGAUGGGUAGCCGGUCUGAGAGGAUGGUCGGCCACACUGGGACUGAGACACGGCCCAGACUCCUACGGGAGGCAGCAGUGGGGAAUCUUGCGCAAUGGGGGCAACCCUGACGCAGCGACGUCGCGUGAGCGAAGAAGGCCUUCGGGUUGUAAAGCUCUGUCUAGGGGGAAGAUAGUGACGGUACCCCUGGAGGAAGCCCCGGCUAACUACGUGCCAGCAGCCGCGGU